rnacentral:lncRNA from 1 species
UCUUAAGUGUUGAUUGUUGAAGUAAGGGUCCAAAACAUUGAAUUUGACCCUAAAUAUUGCAUGAAUCUUCCCUUGUGUUUAAAAGUUGAUUUUUGCAUUCAAAAGGGAAUUCUAAGUGUCAAUUUCAUUGCUUUGCUUACGAUUGCUUUAAGAACGUUUGUUUAUCCUUACCUUUCUUUGUUAGCCAAUACCCUUAGCCCUAUUACAACCCUUAACUUCUAUCUUGAGUGUUGUGUGUUUCAAUUUGUGGAGUUUGGAGUUGGUAUGAGCAUAUGGUGUCACUGGUUCUCGCAUCUAAGUAGUAGCAUUUCAUUCAUGAGAUCAUAUACAUGCUUAUUUAUUCCAGAAAAAGCCUUCUUGUUAUAUUGUAUGUGAGUGCUAGUUUUCAUAUUUACAUCAAUCCUCUCACAUAUAACUAGUAUAGGGUGUGUAGUCAGAAAAUAUGUGUGAAAAUUGAGUGCAUAUCUAGUAAGGAAUUGAGCAAAUUCUCUAAGGCAUGUUACUACACUCAAAAUCAUGUUUUAAUUGGUUGAAUGUGAACUAGUACGUAGUGACUAUGAUUAAGUAUGUGCUUAAGUGUGAAGAUGACUAAAAUCUGUGG